GGCAACUGUGUGCUCAUCACCCCCACCCAGUGGUGACAGGUAGACACCUGGGUAGGAACCCUGCUGCUGGGUGGCUGGUAGGAGACGCUGCAGAGAGACCCCUGCCUGGCUCUCAUCCUCCAUCAGUUGCAAGUCAGUCUAGCUCAGACCCAGACAAGUGGAAGAAGUCAACUCUUAACUAGGGUAUAAUGAAACAUGAUGGAAGUAUUUGACCCAGCAGCUCUUCUAUACCCAGGAGGCCCUGACUGCCACAUUCACCAGCUGAUUUUCCAGGAACAUAAUCAGAGGCAGAAUCAUCUGGUGGUUAAAAGUACAAUCUGGAGUUAGAUGGCUUGAUUUUCAAUCCCAGCUCUUCCACUCAUCAGCUUUGUUAUCUUAGGCAAGUAACUUAAUAUCACUUGGUUUUGUG
rnacentral:lncRNA from 1 species